CCAGUUCGUCCGCCUCCUGCCAAAGUUUAAGGGCCUACGCUUUGACGUCUUGGGGUGCACGUCUGACGACACCCCUCGCAACAUCUUAUGCAACAGCACAGCCGCCGACCUCGGCCUCGACGGUUCAAUGACGUGAGUCGGACUUGAUAAGACGUUUCUUGCCGAAAAGCCUCCUCCUUACUAAACAAACUACUUCCGCAGGGUCCGGUGUCCACUGGGCUGCGCCGAAGCCGGCUAUAAGGUCUACGGAACACGGAUCUACGAACAGGACUCCAACAUCUGCGCGGCUGCUAUUCACUCGGGCAUCAUUGAGAUUGGAGGAGAUGUGACUUUGCUGAAGAGACUGCCACAGAAAGCCUACAACGGCUCCACCUGUAGCGGAAUCGUCUCGAAAGUAUAUGUUAACGAAUUGGCUCCGUUUCCGUCUUACACUUUUGCUGCCACGGAGCCGAGAUGCUUGGGACCUGACUGGGAGGAGUUUGCGGACUUCUGCUACAAACGUUUUGAUGAUACGAAGAAGUGGUACGACGCUCAACACUUCUGCAGGAGUCUC